rnacentral:rRNA from 1 species
UACGUAGGUGGCAAGCGUUGUCCGGAAUUAUUGGGCGUAAAGCGCGCGCAGGCGGUCCUUUAAGUCUGAUGUGAAAGCCCUCGGCUCAACCGAGGAGGGUCAUUGGAAACUGGAGGACUUGAGUGCAGAAGAGGAAAGUGGAAUUCCAAGUGUAGCGGUGAAAUGCGUAGAGAUUUGGAGGAACACCAGUGGCGAAGGCGGCCAGCUGGACCGACCCUGACGCUGAGGCGCGAAGGCGUGGGGAGCGAACGGG